rnacentral:rRNA from 1 species
GUUACUCGGUGGAUGCCACUUAACCAGAUAAGCAUUCCGCCUGGGAGUACGGUCGCAAGAUUAAAACUCAAAGGAAUAGACGGGGACCCGCACAAGUGGUGGAGCAUGUGGUUUAAUUCGAAGAUACACGAAGAACCUUACCUGGCCUUGACAUGGUAGGAAUCCUGUAGAGAUACGGGAGUGCUAGCUUGCUAGAACCUACACACAGGUGCUGCACGGCUGUCGUCAGCUCGUGUCGUGAGAUGUUGGGUUAAGUCCCGCAACGAGCGCAACCCUCGUCGUUAGUUGCUAACAGUUCGGCUGAGCACUCUAACAAGACUGCCUUCGCAAGGAGGAGGAAGGUGAGGACGACGUCAAGUC